rnacentral:rRNA from 1 species
CCUACGGGUGGCAGCAGUGGGGGAUAUUGCACAAUGGGGGGAACCCUGAUGCAGCGACGCCGCGUGGGUGAAGAAGCGCCUCGGCGCGUAAAGCCCUUUCAGCAGGGAAGAAAAUGACGGUACCUGAAGAAGAAGCCCCUGCUAACUACGUGACAGCAGCCGCGGUAAUACGGAGGGGGCAAGCGGUCUCCGGAUUUACUGGGUGUAACGGGGGCGCAGACGGCGGUGCAAGCCAGGAGUGAAAGCCCGGGGCCCAACCCCGGGACUGCUCUUGGAACUGCGUGGCUGGAGUGCAGGAGGGGGGGGCAGAAUUCCUGGUGUAGCGGUGAAAUGCGUAGAGAUCAGGAGGAACACCGGUGGCGAAGGCGGCCUGCUGGACUGCAACUGACGUUGAGGCCCGAAAGCGUGGGGAGCAAACAGGAUUAGAUACCCGAGUAGUC